AGGCAGAUAAUGAUUAUCCUUAUUACUAUUGCUACCACUUACUGAAUAUUUAACAAAACAUUUUCUCAUUUAGUCCUCAAACAACCCUAUGGAAAAUUAAAAUAGACAGACUAGGUAAUUUACCCAGAGCCCAUAGCAGUAACCUCAGGACAAAGACUAGACUUUAGCUCUGACUACAAAGCCGCUGCCUCUGCCCUGAUCAUGGAGAAGGUAGCAGGACAGGUCUGGGUUUUGCCGGCAAAGCUUCCAGAGAAGCUGAAACUUGGGAGAGCAGAAAGCCAGCAAACAAUGCCUAGAUUCAAGGCUUUCAGAAAAAACAGUAAGAUCCUCCUUUUUAGCUCCUGCCAAAACGAAGGAAAACAGCAGCUUCUUGUUUGAUUCUCCUUUUUAAAUCAAUCCAGGGUGAAUUAAAAAAAAAAAAAAAAAGCAUCAACCAAAGUUGCACACGGAAAGGGCCAUCGACCUCAAAAGAUUCUAAAAGGAACUUUGAUCAAAGAUAAUCACAUGCUUCGUUAUUCUUCGUGGGUCACAUUCCCUUUCAGUUUCAGACUCCUUCCUCUGUCCCAACACUACAGUGAUCAAAUCAUGACCAUAGAGACUGAGAAAAAUAUUCAAGAUAUUGGAGACUCCAUGGAAACUUUUUUCUCUUGUGCAGAUUGCUAAUUCUCCAUGGAAACAGUUUAAUUUUUUUCAACAAACAUUCACUGGCCUAUGAUAAGGUAAACAUACUUUGCCGUGAAGAGAAUUUUGCCUAAAAUUUAUUGUAUACAUUCAAAGUCUAUCAUAUGACGACAUCAAUAAAGUGCCCUAGAGUUGAGAAUAUCUCGAUAUUUCUGAGGUAAAACAUUUGA